rnacentral:rRNA from 1 species
UCGGGAAUUUUGGGCAAUGGGCGAAAGCCUGACCCAGCAACGCCGCGUGAAGGAUGAAGUAUUUCGGUAUGUAAACUUCGAAAGAAUAGGAAGAAUAAAUGACGGUACUAUUUAUAAGCUCCGGCUAACUACGUGCCAGCAGCCGCGGUAAUACGUAGGGAGCAAGCGUUGUUCGGAUUUACUGGGCGUAAAGGGCGCGUAGGCGGCGCGGUAAGUCACUUGUGAAAUCUCUGAGCUUAACUCAGAACGGCCAAGUGAUACUGCAGUGCUAGAGUGCAGAAAGGGCAAUCGGAAUUCUUGGUGUAGCGGUGAAAUGCGUAGAUAUCAAGAGGCACACCUGAGGCGAAGGCGGGUUGCUAGGCUGACACUGACGCUGAGGCGCGAAAGCCAGGGGAGCAAACG